GAUGAAGAACGUAGCGAAAUGCGAUAAGUAAUGUGAAUUGCAGAAUUCAGUGAAUCAUCGAAUCUUUGAAGGCAUCUUGCGCUCCUUGGUAUUCUGAGGAGCAUGCCUGUUUGAGUGUCAUUAAAUUCUCAACUACACUGACUUUGAAUUGGUGUGGCUUGGAUUUGGGGGGAAAAUUGUUGUGGGCUUUUUGUAUAGUCUGCUCCCCUGAAAUUGAUUAGCGGUACCUUUGUGGAACUGUCUACAGGUGUGAUAAUUAUCUACAUCUUAGACAUCUGCUGGAAUGCUGCUUUCUAAACCUUACUUGUAUUGACAAUCUUGACCUCAAAUCAGGUAGGACUACCCGCUGAACUUAAGCAUAUCAAUAAGCGGAGGA
rnacentral:misc_RNA from 1 species